AAAAAUAAUAAUAAUAAAAUAAUUGAAAGAAUCAAGGAGAGAUGUGUGUCCUUCUAUGGAUAUUGAAGACCCUUUAACACUUAUUUAAAGACACUUUCUUUCAUGUGUCUCCUUUUAAAUAGUCAAUUUA
rnacentral:sRNA from 1 species